CAUACUCAUAUAUAAGUACAUUAUUAUAAUUAUUCAGACAUAGCUCCACCUCUUUUUUUUUCAGAUGCUCAUUCGCCCAGCUGCUAAUCCUGGGGAGGCUAUAAGAUUGCUGCCUGGAAGUAUUUUUGAAUGAAUGAAGAAGAUAUAGAAGCCUAGCCAAUCGCACAAACAGGCUGAAGAACAGUUUUUAUCUGUGGGCUGACAGACUCCUGAAUGUGAAAUAACAUCAUAACUACAUAGUACGAUGGACUUGCAUCAUUACAGGCGUAACAUGUUCACACUGGUGCAAUAGGACUGGGGGUUGUUAAUAUGUUUUAUUGGGUUAAGGAUUUUCUGUCUUCUCUGUGAGUUGUAUUGUGUUUGGGGGGGGUGCACUGAGGGAGCUCAACCAAUCUCACUGUACAUAUGUUGUGCACUGACAAUAAAGAUUUGAAUUGAA